GAUGAAGAACGCAGCGAAAUGCGAUAAGUAAUGUGAAUUGCAGAAUUCAGUGAAUCAUCGAAUCUUUGAACGCACAUUGCGCCCCCUGGCAUUCCGGGGGGCAUGCCCGUUCGAGCGUCAUUUCAACCCUCAAGCCUCGCUUGGUAUUGGGUGCGGCCCCUCGGGGCCCUCCCGCAACUCGUUGGGCGGGACCGUCCGGCUUCAGGCGUAGCAGAAAUACUCGCCACGGAGACCGCGCGGCCCCCGCCCGGGAACCAACCCCCAGAGUUUGACCUCGGAUCGGGUAGGGAUACCCGCUGAACUUAAGCAUAUCAAUAAGCGGAGGA
rnacentral:misc_RNA from 1 species